UACGGAGGGGGCUAGCGUUGUUCGGAAUUACUGGGCGUAAAGCGCGCGUAGGCGGAUCUGCCAGUCUGGGGUGAAAGCCCGGGGCUCAACCCCGGAACUGCCUUCGAGACUGCGCGGCUCGAGACCGGAAGAGGAGGGUGGAAUACCCAGUGUAGAGGUGAAAUUCGUAGAUAUUGGGUGGAACACCAGUGGCGAAAGCGGCUCUCUGGUCCGGUUCUGACGCUGAGGCGCGAAAGCGUGGGGAGCAAACAGG
rnacentral:rRNA from 1 species